UCACCGUUCGCGGCGAAUUGUAAUCUUGAGUGGUCAUGCUCACCGGGUUUUGACGCAGAAGUGCCCUGGAACGGGCCGCCAUAGAGGGUGAUAGCCCCGUACGUGGUGUCGAGGCCUAACGAGCUGGCAUACAAAGAGUCGGGUUGUUUGGUAUUGCAGCCCUAAGCGGGAGAUAAACUUCUUCUAAGGCUAAAUAUAUGUGGGAAACCGAUAGCGAACAAGUACUGUGAAGGAAAGAUGAAAAGCACUUUGGAAAGAGAGUUAAAAGACCUGAAACCGUUGAGGAGGAAGCGGUAGAGAUGAAUACUUCGGCGAAGCACUGGGAAAUCGGCCUAACUAAGCAGGGCAUGUCGUACGCCAAAGGCGGCGGUUUUGUGAUAGGGAAGCCGGUCACUUGUGCGGCGUCGUGAGGCCGGAUGGGGUGACGUGAUCACAGAGGCCUGUCAGACCUGGCUUCUUUCGGGAGGCAGUCUGGGAGUGCCGGUGAAUGCGUGGCCUGAGGAGCUUUGUGCGAUCCGGUCAAAAUGGUCUUUACCGACUCGUCUUGAAACACGAACCAAGGAGUCUU
rnacentral:rRNA from 1 species